rnacentral:rRNA from 1 species
ACGAACGCUGGCGGCGUGCUUAACACAUGCAAGUCGAGCGGUAAGGCCCUUCGGGGUACACGAGCGGCGAACGGGUGAGUAACACGUGGGUAAUCUGCCUCAUACUCUGGGAUAAGCCUGGGAAACUGGGUCUAAUACCGGAUAGGACCAUUGCACGCAUGUGUGGUGGUGGAAAGUUCCGGCGGUAUGGGAUGAGCCCGCGGCCUAUCAGCUUGUUGGUGGGGUAGUGGCCUACCAAGGCGACGACGGGUAGCCGGCCUGAGAGGGUGACCGGCCACACUGGGACUGAGACACGGCCCAGACUCCUACGGGAGGCAGCAGUGGGGAAUAUUGCACAAUGGGCGAAAGCCUGAUGCAGCGACGCCGCGUGAGGGAUGACGGCCUUCGGGUUGUAAACCUCUUUCGCCAGGGACGAAGCGCAAGUGACGGUACCUGGAGAAGAAGCACCGGCUAA